rnacentral:lncRNA from 1 species
CUCUUGCUACCACUACCGUCUGCGUGGUGCUAGGAAUGAAGGUGGAUGUCACAGUUUGAAUGAAUGGCUCCAAUGUCUUUUGUGUUACAGGCUGGGUCCCUAGAGUGGCACUGUUAAAAACAAAACAAAACAAAACAAACAAAAAAAAACAAAUAAAAAACAUGGUGGAGCCUUUAGAAAGUGGAGUAAGUAGGUAACGGUAGGACCCCAGGCCUCUCACUCUGUUACCUCUUGGACAUGGGAUAAGCUAUUUGGUUCAUAACUUGCUCUCACCUUGCUGUUAACCUUGCCUGCCAAUGGCUCAAAGCACCAGGCCUGUCUGAUUAUGAGCUAGAAUCUUUAGAAUGGUAAGCCCAAAUAAAUCUUUCUUUCUCAUGCAUUAAUGAUCUCAGGUAAUUUGCUACUAUUGUAUGACAGGCUGUUUUUCUCCUGACCUGAGCUACUGGAAUAAUGACUCUGACUCAGAAUAUAUAUUUGCAAGUACCUAGGCCAUAUAGCUAGGCUCAUUCCUUGACUAGCUAAUUAUUUAAAAUAACCCACUUAUGCUAAAUUACAUUCUGCGGUGCAGUUAGUUAACUCUGCUCAGGUGCCACGCCUCUGUCCUCCUCACAUUUUCCGUGGUGACACCUCCCAUAUCUAGCUCUGUCCCGAAUUCUUUCUAUCUCCCGGAUGUCCCACCUUCUCUUCUAUCCUUUCCUAUAGGCCAUAGGUUUUUAAUUGAUGGGUGAUGCAUCCAUGCAAUACACAAGAUGUUCUCUCUAUGUGUUGCAAUGACAGAAGGCUGCCUAACACAACAGAACUUAAUUUAGUGAAUACAUAAGCCUGUUCAAUUACACUGAAAAAAAAAAAAACCCUCACAAAUAUCUUCUUUCUUGAUGGUUUAGGAUUCCUUCAUAAAAGCAUGAUCUUUUAGGAUCACUACUUCUUGAGUUAGACAACGUUUAUAUAGAUUGAAUUCCUCUUUCAUCUAGAGAAGUCAUUUUCAAGCUUUAUAAGCGAGAGCAGCUAGAGGUUUUUUUCUCUUAAUUCCUUGACUGUACAUUGAUUACUUACUAUAUCCAUACCACUGAAUAUAACAUAGCAUUAUUCUGUAUCUUCCCUCAAGUGGGAUAAUUGUUAUCUCCUUCUCCUCAAUAUGAAAUAAGUCCUAAAUAUACGGACAGACAUUGGACUAGACCUGAAAGUCAGGAGAAGCUUCCAGAAGAUUGACUUGUGACGAUUCUUACAGACCAGCAGGGCUUGGAGUUUGUGGUAUGGAAUCCAGCAUGAACGUUGAGGGUCAGUGGGACAUGAGCCAGAGAGGUGAGCAGGUGUCAGGUCAGAAGGACUUUGUGUGCUCAUCUGCAGGGCACCAUCUUUGCUUUGAAUGCUAUGGAGAACCACGGAAGAAUAUUAAGCAAAGGAACGGCAUGCUUGUGUAGAAAACUGUCCCUGGAAAUCAUGCAGUGGGUGAAGAGAGCAUGGAGGGAAACCCAGAGAUGGAGCCAGCAGGAAAGCCGUCGCUGUGGUCCAGGCAACAGCUGAUGAGAGCUGAGAGGAAAGCAGAGAGAUUGAUGGGAAGAGAAAAGCUGAGUGCACAGGACUUGGGGAAGAAUGCAUAGUGGCCACUGAUGGAGGGAGGGAUCUGGAACGAGAUAGCUUUGCUUCUGACUCACGUUCUUCCUAAACAGACUGCCGAGAAGCAAUCCUUUCACCGACGCUUUAGGCAAUGAGCGUCAACGACAGCUCUAAGAUUAUGAUAAAUCGAUGCUGGCGAAACAGCAUCAGCCAGUCUUUCGGAAUGCAGUGGAAGCAUCAGUGGUUGGGAUUAUGGAGGUGUGGAGGAGGAGGCUUAGGGCUACCCUACCUUCCAUACCCAGCACGUGCCUCAUUCCCAGGGUGAAUUGUGCGUCCUUGGCGUAUGCCACGGCUGUUAGAUAGCAUGGUGCAAGCUCCACUGGGCUCUCUGAAUAAUUUCAGCAAAUAACUGUAAAUAGACUUCACUUAAUGAGAGAAACAAUUCUGUAUGUGUCUGCUUUUUUCCCUAGGUACUCCCGAGCCUCUUACCAGGUCACUAAUUUUUUCAUGUAAGCUCUGCUCUCCCUUGCCUGCCGCUGUGACAGAGCCUGUAGUGGGUCACUGCGUUUUUUUCUGAUUGGGGUAGGGCUCAUUUU